rnacentral:rRNA from 1 species
AUUACUGAGUUUACGCUCUACAACCCUUUGUGAACAUACCUAUAACUGUUGCUUCGGCGGGUAGGGUCUCCGUGACCCUCCCGGCCUCCCGCCCCCGGGCGGGUCGGCGCCCGCCGGAGGAUAACCAAACUCUGAUUUAACGACGUUUCUUCUGAGUGGUACAAGCAAAUAAUCAAAACUUUUAACAACGGAUCUCUUGGUUCUGGCAUCGAUGAAGAACGCAGCGAAAUGCGAUAAGUAAUGUGAAUUGCAGAAUUCAGUGAAUCAUCGAAUCUUUGAACGCACAUUGCGCCCGCCAGCAUUCUGGCGGGCAUGCCUGUUCGAGCGUCAUUUCAACCCUCAAGCUCUGCUUGGUGUUGGGGCCCUACAGCUGAUGUAGGCCCUCAAAGGUAGUGGCGGACCCUCCCGGAGCCUCCUUUGCGUAGUAACUUUACGUCUCGCACUGGGAUCCGGAGGGACUCUUGCCGUAAAACCCCCAAUUUUCCAAAGGUGA